UGUGCAGUACGCGAGCCUGGAUACCGGCCAGGAAGGACUGGUUUGAACAGCGCCGAGUUUCACUUCGACGUGGACCGCGUGGACAUGGAAGAGGAGCGGCCUCCCAUGUGGGGGUGGAGGAAGAUCCUGGCGGUGAGCGUCCUGGCUGUGCUACUGCUGGUGUCCGCCUUUCUCGGGGGCUACUUCCACGGGCUGCACUCGGCCAGGGGCAACCGGGAUGCGGCGGCUAACAUUUCCCAGGAGUUGUUUGACUCCGGAUGGCAGCGACUGCCGUGCAUAGGAGAAGACGAGACCUGUCCAGAAGGCGCAGGUUCGGCGAGGCACCGCUGGUGCUCAUCUCCCUGGAUGGCUUUCGGGCCGACUACCUGGACCGGGGCCGCAACCCUUCUUUGGAGCGGCUAGGCCAGUGCGGCGUGCGGGCUCCCUUCAUGCGGCCCGUCUUCCCCACCAAGACGUUCCCUAACCAUUUCACCAUCGUAACGGGCCUGUGGCCGGAGUCCCAUGGCAUCGUGGACAACAAGAUGUACGACCCGGAAUUCAAGACACUCUUCUCGCUGGGCAACAAGGAGGCGGGCAAAUCCC
rnacentral:misc_RNA from 1 species